AGAUGUUGUUUUCUUCCUGUCACGAAAAGAACAUUCUAAAGACCUUUUAACAUCUGUCAUGCUGAUUACAUGUCCAUGUUAUAUAUAACGCCCAGUGCGCCCUCCUCAUCUAUCAUACAUUUGUAAAAUGAAGGCUUGGUUGAGUUUUGCGGUGCUGAUAUGCUACAUUUUACCGGUCUCUGCUCUACCAGCGGGUCCAAUACCCCCCACUGGCUGUGAGCACGACGGGAAGUUCUACGACGUUGGAGAAUCUGUUCCGGAACUGGCCGGUCGUGAAGGAGACCGCUGUUUCGGGGCCUCCUGUAUGGACAUGGGAGGAGGGUCCUAUAUGAUUCUAAACUGGCAAAAUGAGAAUUGUCCACUUCAGACCACACUAAGGAAGGACUAGUAGUAACAAGAAGAUUCUGAAAUCAAAUAGAGUGAGAGGGGGACUAAUAACUCAAUGAAGGAUUAUCCAGUGACCUAUUGUGAAAGGUAUUGUGAAACAAAACCUUUAUAUAUCUAAAGAAAACAUUCAAGAAUCGGAAACCAGAGGAAACGGUGACUUAAGAAGAAGCUUAAUCAAUGACUUAACUUAUCUGGACCCGUGUCAAAAGUAGGCUGAGUACUCUUCGUAUGAAGGAAAAUUUAGAAAACUUUUAGAAAUAUCGAAGUUUUCAUUGAAGAAUUCAGUUACACUUUAACUAUGACAUGCAUGUGACUUGUUUAUAUGGUAUUAAAUUAUGUCCGACAUAUA